rnacentral:rRNA from 1 species
AGUGGGGGAUAACGUAGCGAAAGUUACGCUAAUACCGCAUAUGCCCUGAGGGGGAAGGGGGGGAUCGCAAGACCUCUCGCUUUCGGAGUGGCCGAUAUCGGAUUAGCUAGUAGGUGAGGUAAAGGCUCACCUAGGCGACGAUCCGUAGCUGGUCUGAGAGGACGACCAGCCACACUGGGACUGAGACACGGCCCAGACUCCUACGGGAGGCAGCAGUGGGGAAUUUUGGACAAUGGGCGCAAGCCUGAUCCAGCCAUGCCGCGUGAGUGAAGAAGGCCUUCGGGUUGUAAAGCUCUUUCAGCUGGAAAGAAAACGUAUCUAUUAAUACUGGGUGCGGAUGACGGUACCAGCAGAAGAAGCACCGGCUAACUACGUGCCAGCAGCCGCGGUAAUACGUAGGGUGCGAGCGUUAAUCGGAAUUACUGGGCGUAAAGCGUGCGCAGGCGGCUUUUUAAGCCAGAUGUGAAAUCCCCGGGCUUAACCUGGGAACUGCAUUUGGAACUGGAAGGCUAGAGUGUAGAAGAGGGGGGUAGAAUUCCA